GCCAGACUCCUACGGGAGGCAGCAGUGGGGAAUAUUGCACAAUGGGGGGAACCCUGAUGCAGCGACGCCGCGUGGGCGAGGAAGUAUUUCGGUAUGUAAAGCCCUAUCGGCAGGGAAGAAGAAAUGACGGUACCUGAAUAAGAAGCACCGGCUAAAUACGUGCCAGCAGCCGCGGGAAUACGUAUGGUGCAAGCGUUAUCCGGAUUUACUGGGUGUAAAGGGAGCGCAGGCGGCGCGCCAAGUCUGAUGUGAAACCCCGGGGCUCAACCCCGGGCAUGCAUUGGAAACUGGCGGGCUGGAGUGCCGGAGAGGUGAGCGGAAUUCCUAGUGUAGCGGUGAAAUGCGUAGAUAUUAGGAGGAACACCAGUGGCGAAGGCGGCUUACUGGACGGCAACUGACGCUGAGGCUCGAAAGCGUGGGGAGCAAACAGGAUUAGAUACCCGAGUA
rnacentral:rRNA from 1 species